GGUAAUGGCCUACCAAGGCGACGACGGGUAGCCGGCCUGAGAGGGCGACCGGCCACACUGGGACUGAGACACGGCCCAGACUCCUACGGGAGGCAGCAGUGGGGAAUAUUGCACAAUGGGCGAAAGCCUGAUGCAGCGACGCCGCGUGAGGGAUGACGGCCUUCGGGUUGUAAACCUCUUUCAGCAGGGAAGAAGCGAAAGUGACGGUACCUGCAGAAGAAGCGCCGGCUAACUACGUGCCAGCAGCCGCGGUAAUACGUAGGGCGCAAGCGUUGUCCGGAAUUAUUGGGCGUAAAGAGCUCGUAGGCGGCUUGUCACGUCGGAUGUGAAAGCCCGAGGCUUAACCUCGGGUCUGCAUUCGAUACGGGCUAGCUAGAGUGUGGUAGGGGAGAUCGGAAUUCCUGGUGUAGCGGUGAAAUGCGCAGAUAUCAGGAGGAACACCGGUGGCGAAGGCGGAUCUCUGGGCCAUUACUGACGCUGAGGAGCGAAAGCGUGGGGAGCGAACAGGAUUAGAUACCCUGGUAGUCCACGCCGUAAACGUUGGGAACUAGGUG
rnacentral:rRNA from 1 species